rnacentral:rRNA from 1 species
AGUGAACGCUGGCGGCAGGCCUAAUACAUGCAAGUCGAACGGCAGCACAGCAGAGCUUGCUCUGUGGGUGGCGAGUGGGCGGACGGGUGAGGAAUACAUGGGAAUCUGCCCAGUCGUGGGGGAUAACGUAGGGAAACUUACGCUAAUACCGCAUGCGCCCUUCGGGGGAAAGCCGGGGACCUUCGGGCCUGGCGCGAUUGGAUGAGCCCAUGUCGGAUUAGCUAGUUGGCGGGGUAAUGGCCCACCAAGGCGACGAUCCGUAGCUGGUCUGAGAGGAUGAUCAGCCACACUGGAACUGAGACACGGUCCAGACUCCUACGGGAGGCAGCAGUAGGGAAUAUUGGACAAUGGGCGCAAGCCUGAUCCAGCCAUGCCGCGUGAGUGAAGAAGGCCCUCGGGUUGUAAAGCUCUUUUGUCCGGAAAGAAAAGCGCCGGGUUAAUACCCUGGUGUCCUGACGGUACCGGAAGAAUAAGCACCGGCUAACUUCGUG